rnacentral:lncRNA from 1 species
UCUAGAGACAGCACCAUGGUAACAGUCUACAGCCAUGGUCGUUAGGGGGCAUGCGUCACGGCGACAGUGGAAGGCAACGGAAAGAGAUGAAAAAGAAUAAGAAGAGAUCAGAGCAUGUGUGUGUGUGUGUGUGUGUGUGUGUGUGUGUGUGUGUGUGUGUGUGUGUGUGUGUCAGAGCGGGCAUGUGAGAGAUGGUUUUCCCAACAGGCAGGCAACCCAGAGCUCAGGCCAGCUAUCUGACACACACAGCUUUCUGAGCCAGACGCUGCCUGCUGCAGUCUCCUACUAUCUCUUAGUAGGUCAAAGGGACACAGAUGCCGUUCACUGCUGGAAGUUCUUAUAUACACUUCUUUACAGAGUUGUCUAUAUAUGUCAUUGGCAAAAAUGAUACAUACACAACACUUUAAAACAAAAAAGGAUUAACUUUCAUUUUAGACAUAGCUCUCUUUCUCUUUCUGUAAAGAUCUCAAUUGCGUACUCCUUCGCGUCCUCUCUGCUCGUUUACUUCUCAAAACCCAUUGGAUGAGAGAGCCUGAGAUCCCUGACCUCUGACCUUUUCCUCCAAUGAGUAGAGAGGAAGACGAGAAGAGUAUGCAAUUUAGAUCUUUCCUCUCUCUCUCAAUGCAACACGAUGGCUAUAUUUCUGCAUAAAGGCAUAUUUUACAUAGUUUGAUAUUUGUAAAACAAGUAUAUGUGAAAACAGUCUGAUUUUGAUAAACUAGCCAAUUAAUAUUAGCAUUUUUUUAGGAUCAAUUUCCAUUUCAGUCAAAUUUUCCCAUUUAGCAUCUUUUAAAUAUUAUUCCAAAAUCAUCUAAAAUUGUCUUUCAACCAAGUCAGUGAGCAACACAAUCCAUUUAGGCAAUGAUUUGGCCAUGAAAUGUCUUGCUGUUUGCUUAGCUCAACAGGUCAGUGCGUGUCAUUGAUGCCACAUCUGGAUAGAGUAAGUUAUGUCUUAGGUAGAAAGGAUCUCAUGUGAUAUAGAGACAGAACCUCAACACACACUUUAAUCUGUAAACAUUUAAAGCACUGUAAACAAUGUGAUUGAUAAAAAAAAACAAUAAAGUGAUAUUUGGAUAAAUGUAAUUUGUCUGUUGGUUUUUGGGGGUGGCAUGUGUUGCAAAUAUUUGGGUCACAUUUUUUUAUUUUUUAUUUCACCUUUAUUUGAACAGGGACAACUUUGAGACCAAGGUCUCUUUUACAAAUAUGACCUGUAUAAUACAACAUAAAUAUAUACAUUAUACCCAAACAUAUACACAAUAAAAUACAUAAACACAGUCAUGGGAAGCACAAAUAAAACACUACAAAUUAUCCAGAAAAACAGUUACAUUCCUCUACAAAUAAGUCUCCAAUCCAUACUUUAAAUUGCCGAACGGCACCAGAACAGAGAUGAAAUGUAUUUAAAAUUUUGUUCCAGCAAUACAGUACAUUAAAACUAAAAGCGAAUUUACCUAGCUCGGUGGAGACCCUAGGAACCUCAAGUGUUAACCAAUCCUGUGAACGGGUUAGGCAACUCAGGUGUCUAUACAAAAAGGGAGUAAUGUAGAGAUCUACGGGUCUUCAGCGAAGUCCAGACAACUUUUUACGCCUUUUUCUCCCCAAUUUCGUGAUAUCCAAUUGGUAGUUACAGUCUUGUCCCACCGCUGCAACUCCCGUACGGACUCGGGAGAGGCGAAGGUCAAGAGCCAUGCGUCCUCCGAAACAUGACUCUGCCAAGCCGCACUGCUUCUUGACACAAUGCCCGCUUAACCUGGAAGCCAGCCACACCAAUGUGUCGGAGAAAACACCGUACAACUGCGACCGUGUCAGAGUGCAUUUGGCCGGCACUCACAGGAGUCGCUAGAGAGCGAUGGGACAAGGACAUCCCAGCCGGCCAAUCCCUCCCCUAACCCGGACGAUGCUGGCCCAAUUGUGCGUUGCCUCAUGGGUCUCCCGGUCGUGGCCAGCUGCGACACAGCCUGGGAUUGAACCCAGAUCUGUAGUGACGCCUCAAGCACUGCAGUGCCUUAGACCGCUGCGCCAUUCGGGAGGCGAUCCAGCCAACCUUUUGAUACAGGAUGCAGUGAUGAGUAUCAAAACUGUCACCUUUAACAAAACAAAGAGCACUAUGGUAGAUGGCAUCCAAAGGAUCAAGAGUAGUAGCAGCUGCACUUUGAUAAUAUCACCAUAACCAAGAACAGAUAAAAAGGUUGAUUGAAUAAUCUGCUUCCUACUGCUAAGAGAAAGGCACGAUCUGUUUCUGUAGAAAGAGACAACUUUAAACCUUAGCUUCUUAACCAGCUCAUCAAUAUGUUUUUUUAAACAUCAAAUCCAUAUAAAUCCAAAUGCCUAAGUAUUUAUAUCCGGGAACACGUUCGAUUGGAGAACCAUCUAAUGAGUGAAUAUGUAGUUCAUCUGAAACAUUCUUACGAGAGUUUGAAAACAACAUGUACUUCGUUUUGCACGCAUUAAGCACACGUUUUGAAUCAACAAGUGAUUCCAGCGUAGGUAUAAAGUCUGACUUUAGUCUUGACACAACCAGAUCAACAGACAGGGCAAUAACAUACAUAAUACUAUCAUCCACAUAUAGAUGAAGUUUACCAUUUUUAAUUAACAGAUUGACCAAUGGUGUUUAUAUAAAUAGUGAAGAGAAUAGGUCCCAAAGUCGACCCCUGUGGUACACCUUUAUGUACAUUAAGGGUCAGAGAUACCAUAUAGUUACAUAGAUGGAGAAAUUGAUGGAUAGAUAGAGAAAUGGAGAGAGGAAAAGGCGUGUGUGUCCUCUCAU